rnacentral:snRNA from 1 species
CGCUCAGGUCUCCCAGCAUCGACGAAUAUGCGUUUCACCUUUUAUUAAACGCAUCCGUGCUGGGGAGACAAGAAGUCAGGACACACCAAUUACCUAAUUAAGCUCCCUGAAAA